ensembl:lncRNA
UGCAAUAAUCAUAAUUGUAUAAUAAUAAUUGUCUCAAAAUAAUUGGCUAUCAUGCAUCUUGGCAUGCUCUCCACCAGUGUUUGACAUUGAUAUUGGGUGAUUUUAUGCCAUUCCUGGUGCAAAUAUUCAACCAGCUCAGCAUUGUUUGAUGGCUUGUGACAAUCCAUUUACUCUUGAAAGAAAAUGCAGGUCUCAAUAUUUUCCUGAGCUCUAGGGUAAUUAUUCUGAGAGUUAAUGUGGAGAUCCAUUUUCUGCAACUAUGCUCUUAUGAAACAUGAUCACAUUGCCUGUAUCUGUGAACUCUCUUUGUAAUGUCCACCUUUGAAAAAUGUUGUUAUUAUGUAAUGGGUAGAACAUUAUAUGACACUCUUCUUUUGUUAUAAGGUCCUUUAGAAUCUGACACUGUGGUGCUCACCCUUACCCCAUGUGCGGAGGAAAAUGAAUCUGACUCUGUGGUGCUCACCCUUAACCCAUGUGUGGAGGAAAAUGAAACUGUGUGUGAGGAUUCUGCUGGACCAGAUGCUGCAGUGACAGAAUCCACGAUGGAUGUUGCUGAGUGUGAAGACAUGGCACAAACAACAUUCCGUGGUGAUUUGGUUCAGCCUGCAGAGCACGUCAAGGACACCAAAAACACAGAAGUUGUCCCAAAAAAGAAAGGGAGAAAAAGUUGUCAAAAGACACGUCUGCCAUGCGAGGAAUGUGCAGAGCGGACAUCGUCCGGAAACUUUCUUUAUUCAAAGAUUCUAAAAACAAGAGGGGAUCUGGUAUUUAUUCGAUGGCGUCCGUGUGCGACCUGUGGGACCAAAUGGAAGAACAGUUGGGAACCUUUGUCCUGCCUUUGAGAUGUUGGAGUUAGCACCAGAGAAGCAGGGUUAUCCAGAGAAGCAGGGUCAUACAGUGUACUGUACAGUCAGUUGAGUUAUUAUGGCUUGUGGGUUUCUUAGCCUACUGGUGUGUUCGUUGAUACUCAGGUACUAUUUUAAAGAAUAGGUUAUUUGUUUUCGGAUGUUCUAUCUUUUAAAUGUAUAUUUAUUUUGCUUAAGGAACCCAUUUUAAAUAAAGUGCAUGUUUGUAUCA